GGGGCAUUAGUUCAGCUGGGAGAACGCUUGCAUGGCAUGCAAGAGGUCAGCGGUUCGAGCCCGCUAUGCUCCA
rnacentral:tRNA from 2 species